GUAACUAUAGCCUCGUAGUAUAGUUUGAAGUCAGGUAACAUGUCUUUGGAUUUGUUCUUUCAGCUUAGACUUACUUCGGCUACGCAGGCAGGGAACAUGGGCACUGUUGGAAAAGGAGAUUCAGAGAAGCUCUUUUGUGAAGAUCAUAGAAGACAGUUUGUAAAGAUAUUUGAGAUAAAUAGAAGGUGCGUGCUGGAUGCAUUUCAGCUGCAUAAUUAAUGCCACUUAAAAAAGCAAACUUUGUGCAUUCUUCCUUAAACAAUCUAUUUCCAGCCUCUGUGAUGGGUUUUCUCCAUCAGAAGCUCUGGGAACAAUCUGUCUUAGUCUAUUUAUGCAGUGAAGGUGUCUGAAAGUCAGUGACUAAAUUUAAUGCCAUGUAAGACAUGCCUGCUUCCCCUUCCUUUUCCACUACGACUGAGAGUUUCCUGAGGCCUCCUCAGAAGCUGAGCAGAUGCUUCCACUCUUCCUGUACAGCCUGCAGAACCAUAAGCCAAUUAAACCUCUUUUCUUGAUAAAUU
rnacentral:lncRNA from 1 species